ACCUCAGCAGCAGCUGGGAUGGGAUCUGAGCUGCAGCUGCUGAGGGGCUGCUCUGGGCUGGGCAGCUCCUCGCUAUGCCCUGGGUCUGGUGGCCAAGGAGGGACAGCAGGGCCUUCCUGGACUCUGCAGGGCUGUCCCCAUGGUCUGAUGGCCAAGGACAUCACAGGGACAGCAGAAUUGUCCUGAGCCCUGCAGGGCUGCUCUUGUAGUGAGGAGCUGCUCCGCUGCACCAGGCUCUGCUGGUUUUGGGGUCUUGCUGCCCAUCCAAACCCUUCCUCCUCAUCCUCUGGAACAAGCUGGAGCCCUCACCACUCACUCCAAGGCCGUAUUUCGUCGUGGUUUUGGCGGUAACCUGGGAACAGAGAGAUCUCCAAGGUUUGAAAGGCUGCAGCUUGAGUCCAGAUCCCACAUGCUGAGAAGAAAGGAACCCAAACAGCUGACGCAGAGCUCAGACUAAACUAACUGCAAGCUCCCCAGGGACAUCACAAGAAGCCAAGGAGUGGCUGUGAGCAAGAGCCAGAGCCCGUGGGUCCUUGUCUCAGAUCCAGAUCUGUGCCAGAUCCAGGCUGGUGCUGGAGGAGUCAAACUUCUGACAGAAGGAAUAUCUCAGGGAGGAUCUCCGCAAUCAGCUUGACGGGGGCAGCUGGUUCCGCUUCCUCUGAGACACAGCCCCGGCACCGUUUGACUCGGCUGAUCAGAUAGGAGCUGCAUUACAAGGCAAUGCUGUGGUUUGCCUUAAUGUCCUGCCAAACUGCAUUUAUCUUCCCCACCCUCCCGGAGGAAGCCUGCUCAGGUCACAGCGUGGAGAGAAAUGUGGGAAUCCACAAAAUCAGAGGGUUUUGGGAAAGCUGCAAAAGGCCUCAGAGACAGCAGAACUGUGAUCGGAGCUAAGCAGCAGCCAUGAGAUUGGUCAGCAGAAAAAUUAUUUAAACUGUAGAAAAGCAAGGACAAAGAGAACAAUGGUCUGUGUAUUAAUGCUUGUCUAGAAUAACUCUCUAAGCUACAGAAAAGUUUAUCUAGCAAGAUAUUAGGAAGG